rnacentral:rRNA from 1 species
AAGCAUAUCAAUAAGCGGAGGAAAAGAAACUAACAAGGAUUCCCCUAGUAACUGCGAGUGAAGCGGGAAAAGCUCAAAUUUAAAAUCUGGCGGUCUUUGGCCGUCCGAGUUGUAAUCUAGAGAAGUGUUAUCCGCGCUGGACCGUGUACAAGUCUCCUGGAAUGGAGCGUCAUAGAGGGUGAGAAUCCCGUCUUUGACACGGACUGCCAGGGCUUUGUGAUGCGCUCUCAAAGAGUCGAGUUGUUUGGGAAUGCAGCUCCAAAUGGGUGGUAAAUUCCAUCUAAAGCUAAAUAUUGGCGAGAGACCGAUAGCGAACAAGUACCGUGAGGGAAAGAUGAAAAGAACUUUGGAAAGAGAGUUAAACAGUACGUGAAAUUGCUGAAAGGGAAACGCUUGAAGUCAGUCGCGUUGGCCGGGAAUCAACCUUGCUUUUGCUGGGCGUACUUUCCGGUCGACGGGUCAGCAUCAAUUUUGACCGUUGGAUAAAGUCUAGAGGAAUGUGGCAUCUUCGGGUGUGUUAUAGCCUCUGGUCGCAUACAACGGUUGGGAUUGAGGAACUCAGCACGCCGCAAGGCCGGGUACUCGUACCACGUUCGUGCUUAGGAUGCUGGCAUAAUGGCUUUAAUCGACCCGUCUUGAAACACGGACCAAGGAGUCUAACAUGCCUGCGAGUGUUUGGGUGGAAAACCCGAGCGCGUAAUGAAAGUGAAAGUUGAGAUCCCUGUCGUGGGGAGCAUCGACGCCCGGACCAGACCUUUUGUGACGGUUCCGCGGUAGAGCAUGUAUGUUGGGACCCGAAAGAUGGUGAACUAUGCCUGAAUAGGGUGAAGCCAGAGGAAACUCUGGUGGAGGCUCGUAGCGAUUCUGACGUGCAAAUCGAUCGUCAAAUUUGGGUAUAGGGGCGAAAGACUAAUCGAACCAUCUAGUAGCUGGUUCCUGCCGAAGUUCCCCUCAGGGAUA